UUGAAGCACGCCACCAUGCCGCCGCUCUUCUGUCUCUCCCUGCUCGCCUCCCGCGGCCAAGGAGCGCCCCAACCUCGCCAUGUCGCUCGUGUGGCUCCCAUGGUGCCGCCCCGCAUAGCUCCUUGCUGAGCGCUGCAGGUCAUGAUGCCCGCCGAUUUGAUCUGCACAGCCACUCAAUCCUCGGAACUCCCGAUCGACGGCAACUCGACCGGGGGCUGGGGUGAGAAGACUUCGACAAUGCAGACGAGGAAGAUCACGUCGUGGACGAUUGCCUCAGCUAGGGUCCUUUGUUGUCAUGGCACCGUUGACCCUGUGCUGCGGGCCGGCGAGGUCGUUGAACUUGCCGAAGGCAUCACCAAGCUUCUAUCUCUAGAUCUGCACCAAUCCUUGUCAGAAAAUUGAGAAGUCAUGGCAUAGUCAAAUCUGAACAAGCCGUGUGGAGCUUCGCCAUGAGUCUGCGCAUGAAUUUGGGAAUGGACGGAUGUCACUCCGAAGAAGUCAGAGAAUAUUUUCAAUGCGCAGCAGGACAAGAGAAAAGAAGAGAAGCAAAGAGAGAUGUGUGGCAAAGGAUUUCAAUUUUCCUGUUUACACAAAGGAAACUCGAGGAAGGUUCAGAUUUCUCAUGCUUGGUUCUGUGCUCUCAGGGUUACAUAGACAAAAAUGCCUCCUAUUUACACAAAGGCAACUCGAGGAAGGUCCAGAUUUCUCAUGACUGCUUCUUCGGCAUUUCAUGCCUGUGCCAUCUUAUUAGAAAAUGUAGUUUGUUUUAUAGCUGAUGAUGCUUGAUGCUUUUAUCGAUUAGUAAAUGCUCAGCUUUAGCUCAUAAACUACAUGGCAAAAGCAAAUUCCGAUGGGUCUGAUGCAAAUAAUUUUCAUCUUUAGACAUGCCUUUAGUUGAUUAUUUAAUCCUUUUAUAAGAAUCUAUUUAGCUUUGUAUUGUUGCAGUUUCAUUAUAUAUCCACUUACCAAUGCAUCUAAAGAUUCAACAAUGUAGAAUCCAGCAUCAGUCUUGGGACUACAAAUUGUUUCUUCAUUCCUCCGUGUUGCACUGUAGGUGAUAAGGGGUCGAGGUCGUAUGUUCGUCUGGCAUCAAUACACAAAUACCAUGACAUGAGCUUGAAGAUUUCAAAGAUACAGAAGGUUGACAGAAAGAGGAUACACUGAUUUCAGCUGCGGACAUUGAGCUGAGUCUCUCCCUAAUAGGUGUUUCUCUCUACUUUGUGCUCCAGAUUUGUUUCCCUACAAUAUGGCAGAUUAAUGUAUAUUCUUCUGAAGUCAUAGUACAUUCAUGGUCUGUAUAUAUGUUUGUAUGCUGCAAACCUGAGUCCGGUUUCAAAGUUUGGCCGCAGCUAGCUUGAUUUGGAGACAUUUCCUGUUAGGAGUUAAACUUUGGUUUGGAGGCAUCGAGCUUUGGCUGUAACUAGCUUUGUUACUUGGUAUACCUCUGUCAGCAUUCAGGAGCCGGGUAGUUGUUGAGCGGGUUGUGGGAGAGGCGGUCGGCGAGCGCGGGCUAGACGGGAAGGUGAUGCUUGCGAUGGCGACCAUGCCGGCGGGCAGGGCAAGGUCGAUUGUGUCCAUCAUGGUGUUUCAGAGGGAGAGCGAGGCAUCUGCCAUCGCGCAUCUGAAGAAGUCGAUGCUCGGGGCGAGGUUGACCACCGUGGCCGGCAUGAAAGCGGACGGACUUAAAGGCCGGUGACAGGUUUGCCGUCGUCACACCGUCUCUCAACUUGGCGGAGAGGCGAAAGGAGAGCUGUGGCACCAUGAACACCUCGACGCCUGUUGCUGUGACCACGACCAGGCCAUUGUGUUUGUAAUAAAGAUACUAAUUGUAUACAUAUCCCCCAGCUUCAAAAACAUUAGAUAAAUAUCCAACUUAUUAUUGAAAAAUCUUGAUUCAAGAUAAAUGGAACCUUUCCUAUA